CGAAGCGAAGCAGCGAUGUGAAGCAAAUCGCACCAAAGCCGGUCCCAGUUCGGAUAAGAGGCUGAAACUCGCCUCUUUGAAGUCGGAAUCGCUAGUAAUCGCGGAUCAGCAUGCCGCGGUGAAUACGUUCCCGGGCCUUGUACACACCGCCCGUCACACCAUGAGAGUUUGUAACACCCAAAGCCGGUGGGGUAACCUUUUGGAGCCAGCCGUCUAAGGUGGGACAGAUGAUUGGGGUGAAGUCGUAACAAGGUAGC
rnacentral:rRNA from 1 species